rnacentral:lncRNA from 1 species
UAAAUCUUGUUUUUGACCAAGUGCGCAUGCACCAAAUCCACCUCUUCCAACGUCUCCUGUAAACCCAGAUUCUGGCUCAGGUUGUGGUACAACACAGAAUGCAUGCUUCUUUCCCAUUGGCUGUUCAUGACAGGGAGAGUUGCUGCUCUGAGAGUGAAGAGGAACUUAGUCUGUCAUGGACACACACCAAGGAACUCAGACUCUGUCGUUGAUAUGUACAAAGCUAAUCCUAAAGUCAAUGAGGACUGGGGAGUACUGCACCAAAGCUCAGAGACCACGCUGCUGCCACAACUUGGUACUGACUCGGCAGCCAUUUUGGGAACAACAUCAAAUCAUUUUGUACCAGAGGUGCCAGACAAAGACUAGCCAAAAGCAAUCCAGAGAGAAGGACCCUAGCAACAAAGCUACAAUGAGGAGGCAGACCUCCCUGUUCCUGACUUCAAAACCUG